CGUAAACUUUUUCUUGAACUAUCUCAUUCCGCUCCAGUGUAAAGAAAUUGUGUGAACGUGCUAAGGUGGGUCCUACCGCACUAAAAUAUCUGAUCUCUUCCCCAGACCGUCCGUUCCUUCCCGCGGAUUCCGCCCGGCCUGCUGUUCCUUCCCGCGGAGACUGCGAGGACUAUUCUUCCCCUUUCCGAUCUAUCCACCAAAUCUUCUCCCUCGCCAUCUUCGGCUGCCCAUGAAAUUGGGCAACGGCUACUCCUUGCAAGCAGAAGAAGAGAGGUGAUUGGGGGUGAGGAGAAGAAGAUGAGAGUGACUGCGAUGCUCUUCUAGCAGAUCCGGAGUUCCGAACGACACGAGAUCGAUGGGAGGUUUCAUGGCAGGUUGUUGCCGUGGACGCCGCCGGGCUCGUCAGCGGCAGCAUGGUGGGUCACGCACAGCUGCAAGGGAUCCGGUUGUGUGCCUCGGUUCCCGCGUCUCUGGAUCUUAGAUGCAUCUCCAUCGAAUAGACAUUGGGGAGGCUGGACUUGAGCUGUCAGCACCAAGAACAAAAGGCAUUGACUCAACUGGUGAUGAAGACCGAACUCCUUCAACUGCAGCUCCUCUUCCAAACACUCCAUUGGGAGAAAGGUUGAAGUUGCCUUCAUAUGGAUUACCUAGAUUGUAAGGGUUGAAAUUUGGAGGGAAGCCAUAAGGGUUGAAAUUUGGAGGGAAUUGAGACUGGAAUUGUUGGUUGAGUUGGGGUGCAAAGUUUGUGGCAAACAGUGAUUGUGGGUUCCUUGGGGUGGACUGACUGCUUGUGUUUGGCUCCACGGGAGGUGAGGAGUUUCAAGGAUUGAAGCCAGAUGUAUGAUCCAUGGUGUUUUUUUUUCAUGUAAUUUCUUCUAUUUGAAGUGGUUGGGUCAAAUGAGCUACGGCCGACUGCUAUUUGUAGAAGCAGCAGUACCCUUGUGCAACGGCUACCUCCUCCCAACGCUCCCAACGGUCAUGUAAUAAAUAUAUUAUUCACUGUUGAGUCACUAUUGAAGAA